rnacentral:rRNA from 1 species
GAUGAACGCUGGCGGCGUGCUUAACACAUGCAAGUCGAGCGAAGCACUUAAGUUUGAUUCUUCGGAUGAAGACUUUUGCGACUGAGCGGCGGACGGGUGAGUAACGCGUGGGUAACCUGCCUCAUACAGGGGGAUAACAGUUAGAAAUGACUGCUAAUACCGCAUAAGACCACAGGGUCGCAUGACCCGGUGGUAAAAACUCCGGUGGUAUGAGAUGGACCCGCGUCUGAUUAGGCAGUUGGCAGGGUAACGGCCUACCAAACCGACGAUCAGUAGCCGGCCUGAGAGGGUGAACGGCCACAUUGGGACUGAGACACGGCCCAA